AAUAUGCUCAACGAUAUGUUCCUAUAUUCUAGGAUCUCGAUACUUGACCAUAUCGCUUGUAUAGAGGAACCGUAGAACAACCUUGUGUAUAUAUUGAUUGUAUCGUGUUUAUGAUUGACCAAGGAAAGACAUACACUUUCACAUAUCCCUGAUUAAUUAAAUCUAAACUCAUUCUAUCUAUAGAGAGAAAAUAGAAAAACUUGCAGAUAAUCCCUAGUUUUCUCUUUCUUUUUGCCUCUCUUUGUUUCUCUACUCACGAAUCGAUAUAUAUUUUCCUUGGGUUUGAGUUUGCUGUGGAUCCACUUCUCAAAUGUUAGAUCUGGUGAAAAAAUGAGAUGUGAUGUAGGAGAGAGUAAAGAAGGCUCGGGUAUGGCUAAUGAAGCGGUUUUCUUUCCUCGGAAUGGGACUGUACUCCUUCGCCAGCCUCAUCCCGUCCUCCACCGUCACCUUGUACUUCGGCAACUCGUCCUCCGUGAAAAUCCCUAAUGCGACGUAAUCCAAUCCCACGAUCCCGAUCCUGAUCGGCUCGUCGGUGACUAUAGCCACCAGAUCUUAUUGUUCUGCACAAUAUUUCAAAAAUGGUAUCGAAGAGAUGGCUGGAACAACCUUACGAUGUGUGGCACUGGCCUUCAGGACCUAUGAGCUUGAAAAGGUCCCAACAGGCUAAGAACUCUCAGACUGGGUUCUCCCAGAGAACGGCCUUAUUUUACGAUCUAUAGUAGGCAUAAAGAAUGCUGGUGUCAAGGUGCUUCUUUUGUUCGAUUUUACCAAAAAGGCCCAUUGCACAAAUUCUCUUUCAUAGCCUGCUAAUAACGCUGCA